ACGGGAGGCAGCAGUGGGGAAUAUUGGACAAUGGGGGGAACCCUGAUCCAGCGACGCCGCGUGAGUGAAGAAGUAUUUCGGUAUGUAAAGCUCUAUCAGCAGGGAAGAAAAUGACGGUACCUGACUAAGAAGCCCCGGCUAACUACGUGCCAGCAGCCGCGGUAAUACGUAGGGGGCAAGCGUUAUCCGGAUUUACUGGGUGUAAGGGAGCGUAGACGGCAAUGCAAGUCUGAAGUGAAAUCCCGCGGCUCAACUGCGGAGCUGCUUUGGAAACUGCAUAGCUGGAGUGUCGGAGAGGUGAGUGGAAUUCCCAGUGUAGCGGUGAAAUGCGUAGAUAUUGGGAGGAACACCGGAGGCGAAGGCGGCUCACUGGACGAUAACUGACGUUGAGGCUCGAAAGCGUGGGGAGCAAACAGGAUUAGAUACCCUGGUA
rnacentral:rRNA from 1 species